AUAUUGGACAAUGGGCGCAAGCCUGAUCCAGCCAUGCCGCGUGAGUGAAGAAGGCCCUCGGGUUGUAAAGCUCUUUUGUCCGGAAAGAAAUCCUUUCGAUUAAUACUCGGAAGGGAUGACGGUACCGGAAGAAUAAGCACCGGCUAACUUCGUGCCAGCAGCCGCGGUAAUACGAAGGGUGCAAGCGUUACUCGGAAUUACUGGGCGUAAAGCGUGCGUAGGUGGUUUGUUAAGUCUGAUGUGAAAGCCCUGGGCUCAACCUGGGAACUGCAUUGGAUACUGGCUUACUAGAGUGCGGUAGAGGGUAGCGGAAUUCCCGGUGUAGCAGUGAAAUGCGUAGAUAUCGGGAGGAACAUCCGUGGCGAAGGCGGCUACCUGGACCAGCACUGACACUGAGGCACGAAAGCGUGGGGAGCAAACAGG
rnacentral:rRNA from 1 species